CCUACGGGUGGCAGCAGUGAGGAAUAUUGGUCAAUGGGCGAGAGCCUGAACCAGCCAAGUCGCGUGAAGGAUGACUGACCUAUGGGUUGUAAACUUCUUUUAUAUAGGAAUAAAGUGAGGAACGUGUGCCUUUUUGUAUGUACCAUAUGAAUAAGCAUCGGCUAACUCCGUGCCAGCAGCCGCGGUAAUACGGAGGAUGCGAGCGUUAUCCGGAUUUAUUGGGUUUAAAGGGUGCGUAGGUGGUUUGUUAAGUCAGUGGUGAAAGUUUGUGGCUCAACCAUAAAAUUGCAGUUGAAACUGGCAGUCUUGAGUAUAUUUGAGGUAGGCGGAAUGCGUGGUGUAGCGGUGAAAUGCAUAGAUAUCACGAAGAACUCCGAUUGCGAAGGCAGCUUACUAAACUACAACUGACACUGAAGCACGAAAGCGUGGGGAUCAAACAGGAUUAGAUACCCGUGUAGUC
rnacentral:rRNA from 1 species